GGAGGGAAGCCGGGCGGCGGUAGCGCUGUAAACCCCGUCAGGCCCGAAAGGGAGCAGCGGUAGCGGUUGCUAUCGGGUGUCCGGUUUCCCUCACAG
rnacentral:SRP_RNA from 1 species